rfam:Oryza glaberrima chromosome 10 Oglab10_0011_3, whole genome shotgun sequence.
AAUAAGUGCAAUUUUACACUGUUUAUAUUCAAAGUUUGACCGUUCAUUUUAUGAUUAGUAUUUUUGUGGUUAUUAGAUGAUAAAAUAUUAAUAGUAUUUUAUGUGUGACAUUUUUUUUAUUUUUUUCAUAAAUUUUUCAAAUAAGAAGGAUGGUCAAACGUUAGACAUGGAUAUCCACGGCUGUACUUAUU